rnacentral:rRNA from 1 species
GACGUAGGGCGCGAGCGUUGUCCGGAUUUAUUGGGCGUAAAGAGCUCGUAGGCGGCUUGGCAAGUCGGGUGUGAAACCUCCAGGCUCAACGUGGAGACGCCACUCGAUACUGCUAUGGCUAGAGUCCGGUAGGGGACCACGGAAUUCCUGGUGUAGCGGUGAAAUGCGCAGAUAUCAGGAGGAACACCGGUGGCGAAGGCGGUGGUCUGGGCCGGCACUGACGCUGAGGAGCGAAAGCGUGGGUAGCAAACAGG